AGAGUUUGAUCCUGGCUCAGAGCGAACGCUGGCGGCAUGCUUAACACAUGCAAGUCGCACGGUCAGCAAUGGCAGUGGCGGACGGGUGAGUAACGCGUAGGAAUCUAUCUCUGGGUGGGGGACAACCGUGGGAAACUACGGCUAAUACCGCAUGAUACCUGAGGGUCAAAGGCGUAAGUCGCCUGGAGAGGAGCCUGCGUCUGAUUAGCUAGUUGGUGGGGUAAAGGCUUACCAAGGCGACGAUCAGUAGCUGGUCUGAGAGGAUGAUCAGCCACAUUGGGACUGAGACACGGCCCAAACUCCUACGGGAGGCAGCAGUGGGGAAUAUUGGACAAUGGGCGCAAGCCUGAUCCAGCAAUGCCGCGUGUGCGAAGAAGGUCUUCGGAUUGUAAAGCACUUUUGGCAGGGACGAUGAUGACGGUACCUGCAGAAUAAGCCCCGGCUAACUUCGUGCCAGCAGCCGCGGUAAUACGAAGGGGGCUAGCGUUGCUCGGAAUGACUGGGCGUAAAGGGCGCGUAGGCGGCUGUCACAGUCAGAAGUGAAAUUCCUGGGCUCAACCUGGGGACUGCUUUUGAUACGUGGUGGCUUGAGUGGGGAAGAGGGUUGCGGAAUUUCCAGUGUAGAGGUGAAAUUCGUAGAUAUUGGAAAGAACACCGGUGGCGAAGGCGGCAACCUGGUCCUUUACUGACGCUGAGGCGCGAAAGCGUGGGGAGCAAACAGGAUUAGAUACCCUAGUAGUCC
rnacentral:rRNA from 1 species